AACAGCAAGAGAUCUAGUAGAAAUCAUUCUAUCAUUUCAUAGGAUCACAAACACCUACCAAAUGCUCCUGCUUGAAUCAAUCAAGCGUGUUAUGCUAAUUGAGUCAAUUUGAAAGAUAUCCUGUUAUGCUAACCUCAUGACAUACAACAUUCAAUAAUAAAUAUUGAUGGCCAACUAAAAUUGUCAAUUAAAAGAAUUUCGAGCAGGGUAUAGACCAAGUGGAAGACAUUAAGGAUACUAGGAAAGGCUCAGGUCCUAGCCCUCCCAGCCAUCUCAGAUCGGAUCAGUGGCAUACCAGGUUUGGGACCCUGAUACAUGAAAAAUUAGGUUGUCCUUGUAAUUACCGGCCAGUGUGAAUGAGAUGGUGAUUGGCAUGGCCGAUACCCUAACCUAAAUUAUAAGAUAGAAUGCCCCAAAAAUUAUCAAGACAACCAUUGGAAACAACAAAUAAUAGGAAAAAAAAAACAAAAAUAAUAUAAAAACUGUCACAUGUGUGAAACCCCUGGAUGCUGACUUAUCCCGAGUGUUGGCAUAAUACUAUCCUGAUAUUGGCCCACUGUGGUCCGUGAUCCAUACUAGGAUAUGGAUUUAAAGCCUUGAUACUAACACAUAUACAUAUCUUGAUGGAGGUCCUAUACCAAUGAUCCAAGCUUUUAGAUGUGAUCGACUACUUCCAA
rnacentral:lncRNA from 1 species